rnacentral:rRNA from 1 species
UGUGCCUACGGGGGGCAGCAGUGGGGAAUAUUGCACAAUGGGGGAAACCCUGAUGCAGCGACGCCGCGUGGGUGACGAAGUAUUUCGGUAUGUAAAGCCCUAUCAGCAGGGAAGAAGAUGACAGUACCUGACUAAGAAGCCCCGGCUAACUACGUGCCAGCAGCCGCGGUAAUACGUAGGGGGCAAGCGUUAUCCGGAUUUACUGGGUGUAAAGGGGGCGCAGACGGCGAUGCAAGCCAGGAGUGAAAGCCCGGGGCCCAACCCCGGGACUGCUCUUGGAACUGCGUGGCUAGAGUGCAGGAGGG